GAAAACACGACUUGGUAAACACCCUGCGGAUUUUCUAACAGAAGUUCAAAGGCAAGUGUCAACGCCUCAUCCUCUGAUGAACUCCGUAAGAGGUGCUCAGACUGGUCCCCAGCAUCUACCUCCCACCCCUCCCCGUCCCUCUGUGCUGUCUCUCUCUGCUGUCACAGCAAGGGCUCUCCUUUCCCUGCCUGCUUUUCUGGGUUCACCAGAGUGGGUACUAGAUAUGCAGCCUGAUACCAAUGCUAGGGUGUCUGGGUUCAAAUUCUGGGUUAAACUCCAAGGGACUUGGCUUGGGCAUUUGCAGAAAGGAGACAAUAAUAGUAGCUACUUUGCAGUCAGUGUGUGCUGACUGGAUUAACAGAUGGUAAAGCACCAAGAAAAACGUCCUGUGAUAAGUGCUCAGCACGUGUUAGUGGCAGCCAGUGGCCUUUCCCGGAAGGGCCCAACUUCCCAUCGCCACCGUUUAGAACUUCGAUCAUUCUUCAAGGCUCAGGCUGGAUGUUGUUUCCUUCAUGAUUUGCUUUUUCGUCUCCACCAGCGUCACAUACGGGUCACUUCUUUCAUUUAUUGCCCUGACACGUUCUGCCGGCCUUUAUUGCUGUGUGCACAGGUGCUGUGUUGUCAGAUACCUGCUUUUGUGUAGUUAUCCUGCCUCGUGCUCCCUUUGGUACCAUCCUUCUCCAAUAUACGGGAGUGUUUCACAUACACAGUAGGCACUCAAUAAAUGUAGGCUAAAGGAAUUAUAAGCCACUUACAUAAAAAUGACCUCAUUUAUGUAGAGGCUCCAAAAGACAGAACUCACUCCUGCGAAGUCCGAAGCAACAUCACGUUUAUGAAAGAUUGUCUACAAAACUACUCAAGGGCUAGGAUUUGAUAUCCACAGAUUUUCAAAGAAUCCAAUUUUAUUUUGGUCUUUUGGGGCAGUUAUGUCUCAGGAGAAAUAGAGAAAGAACUUAAACUUUCAGCGAAUAUGCCCUCUAGAGAGAAAUGAAGCAAGCUCUUAUUUGUUUUCCUCCUUGUGUUGGCAGAGUUCUCCCAGAUCCUGUAUCCAGGCAGGUGGGAGGGGAAGGGAGCAGAAGGCUGUAAAACCAGUGUCGUAUAAAGCACAGCUGAAAUACCUGAGCACAUCUGGUCUGUAAAAUAGAGAGAUGAGCCAAGCGGACCUGGGCACUGUCUCCAAAUAGUUGAAGUGUAAGAACUGAAGACAGAGUUUCUCAGCCUGGGCACUGCUGGCAUCUGGAGCCGGCCAGCUCUUGGUUAUGGAGGCCUGUCCUGAGCAUGGCCAGGUGUUUGCCGCACUCCUGGCCUCCACACACCAGUUACCAGUUGCGCCCCUACUAGUUGUGACAACCAAAAUGUUUCCAGAUUAUCACCAAUCGUCGCCUGUGGGUUCAGUUAGUAACCUCGUGUUGCACCUCAUGUUUUCUCUUGUAACUGAAACACUGCCUGACACCCCCUGCCUGUGAGCAGUCUUCAUUCCGGAGAGCAGGUGAAGGAAGGAGAACCCUGAAGACAACCAGAAACCAUCACAGACCCACGGCCUGGACGACUCUGAAACGGUCUGUGGGUGAAGAGUAACACAGACACCUUAACCAGCCACCCCGUCUUCUGAGCUGCACCUGUAACACCCCUUGCCAUCCCCUCUCAAGUCAGGGCAUACUUUUGAGGCGCUAGCCUGCCAUGUCCUCCUCUGCCUGGCAGAGCAAUAAAGCUGUUCUUUCUCUUCCUCAAAA